GAGUUAUGCGUAAAUACUUUUUGUAACAUAAAAACAAAAUAAAUUCAUUCAUACUGUAGCACAAUAAACUAUUAAAUUUACAAUAUCAAGUGGGCCCACAAUAACUAGAAUUAAAGAAGCUGUGAACCUACAGUUUGGAAGACGCAAUCCAAUGGAAAUCCCUGAUAGAACUAGCUAUCUACAGCUUAGUCUGAUCCUGAAAUGGGUGGAAAGGAGGGUGGUGAGAUUAUAAAAUCCCAGUGAGUAAACAAACGCCAUUUAAAUCAGCUAAAGCCGAGUAAAAGGAGACAAUUAAAAUAUCCCAUCAUUUUAAGUAUUUCACAAUUUGAAAAUUCAUCCCAACCCAUGCAAACGGUUGUAUUUCAUUUAAUUUCUCAUUAGGGCUUAUGACUUUCAUAAACAGUUGGCUCAUGCCAUCAAAUAUACUCGAUGACACCUUGAUCAGAGGCGUACACUCGAGCUCGCCAAGGCUGUUAAAAAUUUCAUAUGCACGUAAAAUAUAUUUUUUGUUUGAGAAAACACAGUCAUUCCUUGACGUUGGCUGAGUUCCCCUUCACGUGGUGGUUUGGCGUGAAGUGAACCCUAAGCUUUACCCCAGGAGAUACCCUACGCGCCUCUCCAUUCGAGGUAAGAAUAUAAUGGGGUUUACUAUGCCCCUCUAAAAGGCUGGUCCACAGAAACCCCCUACUGCACCACCAAUCAAUAAAAUUCAUUCUAGCAUGACGUGGCAAUUAUUAUAAUUCACAGCCUUUCAAGGCUAAAUACACAUUUGAUAUAUUUCAAUACCAAUGCCAAUUCAGCCAUUCAUGCAAAUACUGUCAUAAGCCAUUAGAUUGAUAAAUUUAAUUCAUAACAAGUGGUCUCCAAUUACUCUAUUUUUCAAAAUCAUCAUUCAAUUUUUAAACAAUUUAUAACAUCUUUUCAUGUAGACACAUUUUGUUUGUAAAACUCAAGGUUUACCAUUUAGUUUCAUUUUCAUAAAAUUUCAUCAAAAUCAAUUAAAAACAUACUUUAGAUAAUAAAAAUGAUGGUAAGGUUACUCACAGUACUAGGAGUUCGAUAUACUCUUAUUCCCGGUCUUCGAGCACAAUCUCUUUACCCUUGUUAGAGGGCUCACCACCUAUACAUCAUACGUGACACGAAUUUCAAUAAAUUGUGUCAAUUUAUCAUAAACUAUUUCAAGCUCUCUAAAUCUAAAUGACAGCAUGCGAUAGGAUGCAAAAUGUCUGAUUAAUCACUUAAAUGUGAUAUUCGACCUAAAUCACACUAUAAUCGGCCUAAUCGGUUAAAAUCUCCAAUUUAACUCCAAAUCAAUUCUUCUCACUUUCUACGCUCCAAUUAUACCGAAAUUACCUCAGUGACUGUGAAUGAAAUUCAAUUUAUUAGUCUCGGGUAAAUAAUCACACAUGUUUACACAUUAGGUAAAAAUUCAUAUUUUCAUACCAAAAUUUCCCAUUUUAUUUCUAGCCUCACCAAACAUCAAAUAUCACCCAAAUAUCAUGACAUAUCAUCAAUUUCAGCCACAGUAUCCUUCCUAGAAAAUUCGGCCAAUAAUGGUGAUGGGGGAACAUGAAUUCUUUUCUUGUUGUUUUGUUUCUAAAUAUGCUAAACUAACUAAAAACACUAACAUAACUUAAAAUCAAAUCAAUCUAACUUCAUUCUCUCUCCAUACCCAUUUGGGCAGCAAUGAAUUCAGCAUGAAAACAUGAAAUUUAACCAUGAAAAAUAAGGAGAAAAGCAUGGGAAAGGUAGAUCGCAAGUCAAAAUCAAUAAAUUUUACCUUUGAUUGCUUGAUUCCUUGAAAUCUCACACUUUUUCUUUAAUUUUCCCACCUAGGUUUCUUGUUUUUCUUUUCCUCUCUUUGUUCUUGCUAUGGUCGGCCACAUAAAGAGAAAAUAAGCUGAUUU
rnacentral:lncRNA from 1 species